GGGGACGAAAGGAGUUGAUAGGAGUUCUUCUUGAGCAGGGCAAGCUGAGGUGUGGAUCCUCAUAAAACCUCCAUAAACAAAAUAAGUGCAAACUUAUUCAGCAAACCCGCUUACGCUGUAGCUUAAGCGUAAGCCAUCCAAGUUGCUGAUUCUCGAUAGGCAACUUUGGGUGUCAUAAAAAUCGAGAUAGGCAACUACCUCGCCUCAGGUAGUUGCUGAAAUUGAAGAGGCUCGGGGAGAGAAUUUUUCGUCCACUUUUUAUUCUCUUGCCCUAAAUCUAAAGUGGACUAAGCUUGUAGAUCUGCUUUCUGGAGAACUCCUACACGUGGGUUCGAUUCCCACCGUCUCCAUCU
rnacentral:tmRNA from 1 species